CCUACGGGAGGCCGCAGUGGGGAAUAUUGCGCAAUAGGCGAAAGCCUGACGCAGCGACGCCGCGUGAGGGAUGAAGGUCUUCGGAUCGUAAACCUCUGUCAGAAGGGAAGAACGGUCACUGUGCUAAUCAGCAGUGACUUGACGGUACCUGCACAGGAACCACCGGCUAACUCCGUGCCAGCAGCCGCGGUAAUACGGAGGGUGCGAGCGUUAAUCGGAAUUACUGGGCGUAAAGCGCUCGUAGGCGGUAUGUCAAGUCAAGGGUGAAAUCCCCGCGCUCAACGUGGGAACUGCCUUUUAAACUGGCAAACUGGAGUGUGUGAGAGGAUAGUGGAAUUCCAGGUGUAGGAGUGAAAUCCGUAGAUAUCUGGAGGAACAUCAGUGGCGAAGGCGACUAUCUGGCACAUAACUGACGCUGAGGAGCGAAAGCGUGGGUAGCAAACAGGAUUAGAUACCCCGGUAGUC
rnacentral:rRNA from 1 species